rnacentral:tRNA from 1 species
GUGUAGCUCAGUGGUAGAGCACUUGCCUAGCAUGUGUAAGCCCUGGGUUUGAUACCCAGCAC